AUUCAGAGCUUUUUGAUCCAAAAUACAAGGUACAAGGGCAAAUCCGUUCUUACCCAAAAAAUAAGAACUUAUGGAAUUACUUGAAUGCCCUUUUUCGCGAACUGAUUACUUUUCUCACCGUUCUGUCUGUCCGGCCGCAAAAUCAUGUCCAAACAUACAAGCAUCAGCCCGCUCCAUCUUCGAGUACUCCAAACAACCUACCUCUGGUGUAUAGAGGCAGGCUGCAGGCGUGGUGGAAUUUGGAGGAGCGGUUAAGCAGUUCAUGCACUUCAUGCUCAUGGAUACCUGGGUUACUGAUUUAGUAGCCUCAGAAUUGAUCUUUUGAGGGACUGAGUCUUUGAUCCAUACUCUCCUCUUACACCUUCACCAGGCAAUAUGAAGAUAUGAUGGCCGGCGCCGCCUCAUUCUGGCUGCAUAUAUGGAAUGGCAAGUGAAGGUUAGUGUUUUCAUUCCUCCAAAAAUAUAUAUGUGGGCCAUUCUAUGCAUAUCAUGUUUAGCAUCAAAACAUUUUCAUGAUGAAUUUACACUUUUAAUUUAAGAGUCCAUACUAGCCAAUUUAGACAAUCUUGGUUAGUACUAUGCUAUGUGAUUCUAAAGCUAUACACACACAUAUCAGAGUGACUGAGUGAGUGUAUAGCUUUUUAGCACCAAGAUACAGUGUGUAUGAAAGUUGCUUUAAUAAAAAUGUCUUUAUCAUUA